rnacentral:rRNA from 1 species
CAGCCCUUGACAUCCCGGUCGCGGAUUCCAGAGACGGAAUCCUUCAGUUCGGCUGGACCGGAGACAGGUGCUGCAUGGCUGUCGUCAGCUCGUGUCGUGAGAUGUUGGGUUAAGUCCCGCAACGAGCGCAACCCCCGUCCUUAGUUGCUACCAUUUAGUUGAGCACUCUAAGGAGACUGCCGGUGAUAAGCCGCGAGGAAGGUGGGGAUGACGUCAAGUCCUCAUGGCCCUUACGGGCUGGGCUACACACGUGCUACAAUGGCGGUGACAAUGGGACGCUAAGGGGCAACCCUUCGCAAAUCUCAAAAAGCCGUCUCAGUUCGGAUUGGGCUCUGCAACUCGAGCCCAUGAAGUUGGAAUCGCUAGUAAUCGUGGAUCAGCAUGCCACGGUGAAUACGUUCCC